UACAGAGGUCUCAAGCGUUGUUCGGAUUCAUUGGGCGUAAAGGGUGCGUAGGCGGUUUGGUAAGUCUUGUGUGAAAUCUUCGGGCUCAACUCGAAGUCUGCACGAGAAACUGCCGGGCUCGAGUUUGGUAGAGGCAGAUGGAAUUCCGGGUGUAGCGGUGGAAUGCGUAGAGAUCCGGAAGAACACCGGUGGCGAAGGCGGUCUGCUGGGCCAAGACUGACGCUGAGGCGCGACAGCGUGGGGAGCAAACAGG
rnacentral:rRNA from 1 species